CGCGUAGGCGGCCAUGUAAGUCAGAUGUGAAAGUCCACGGCUCAACCGUGGAAGUGCAUUUGAAACUGUGUGGCUUGAGUACUGGAGGGGGUAGUGGAAUUCCCGGUGUAAAGGUGAAAUUCGUAGAUAUCGGGAGGAAUACCGGUGGCGAAGGCGACUACCUGGCCAGAUACUGACGCUGAGGUGCGAAAGCGUGGGGAGCAAACA
rnacentral:rRNA from 1 species